CUGGUUCUCCCAAAAACAUCUUUAGAGUUUUCACGGAGCUUCACAUUUGAAACCCCUUGCAGAGUGGGCUCUCUAUGAGAAACAUACAACUACAAACCCUUAAACUGGGAAAGUGAGAGCAUUUAUUUAGAAGUUUGUUAUUUUCCUUUGAUGCUCGUUGAUUGCAAAUUGGCCUAAGAAGCUUAAAGCCUGCAACACUGAAAACUUGCAGGUUGUACAGCGAGGAAGUCAGAGUGGAAACUAUCCCUGUGAACUAACGGAUGUAAGACCAGGAAGCCAGCGCAUCCACCGAUGCCCAUAAUGGGCUGGCACGUGUGUGUGUACACAACGGUGAAUUUCCUCCAGGUCCUUAGUGUUUCUGAGAUCGUAAAGAGAUUGAAAGGGGCCUGAGAGGUGCCUGCCACGCUUUCUGAAAGGAGACUAAUGCCAGCGAGACCGCCCCAGCCCUGAGACUGCCUGAGAACCCUCGUGGAGUCCACGCAACUGGGUACUUGACACUUUGUCUUCCGAUUGACAGUGUUCUCAUUUUUAUUUGGGGAAUGACACCAGGGCUGUUAUGAGAACUGAAUUAAUUGAAUGCUGCAAUGAAGCUAUUCUUACCCUUGGCUGACAGUAGGGUUUGGCCCUCGCGCUCCUCCAGGGCCCACACUAAGCAUUUUUGACUCUCACUUUGGUUGUUACUCAUGCCCAGCAUCUUCAAACCCUGUCUGGCUGGACUCAGCGGCACGUUUGUGGCUUUAAUAGCAGUCCCUGGGCUGUCUCAGUUUUGAAGUCACUGAGCUCUGACACCUGCCUUCCAGGGUCUGUGUGUUUCCUCCAUAAUUCUCCCACUAUGACCAUUUCACAGUUCAGUGACAAAACCCUUCUGCUCAAGUCUCUGGUCUCAGAUACCCACUGAAUCAGAACAUUUCAACCGGUGACACAAUUGAAUAGAACAUUUCCCCCCAAAUUACCAAAGCUUAGUAUACUAUUUAAAGGUUAAAAUGUUCUGUAAAAAAAUUGGUAGUUACAAAAUAGUCACAGGAAUGUAAAGUACAGCAUAGAGAAUA